rnacentral:rRNA from 1 species
AUUGAACGCUGGCGGCAUGCCUUACACAUGCAAGUCGAACGGCAGCGGGCAGUAGCAAUACUGUGCCGGCGAGUGGCGGACGGGUGAGGAAUACAUCGGAAUCUACCCUGUCGUGGGAGAUAACGUAGGGAAACUUACGCUAAUACCGCAUACGACCCACGGGUGAAAGCGGCGGACCGCAAGGCGUCGCGCGAUUGGAUGAGCCGAUGUCCGAUUAGCUAGUUGGCGGGGUAAAGGCCCACCAAGGCGACGAUCGGUAGCUGGUCUGAGAGGAUGAUCAGCCACACUGGAACUGAGACACGGUCCAGACUCCUACGGGAGGCAGCAGUGGGGAAUAUUGGACAAUGGGCGCAAGCCUGAUCCAGCCAUGCCGCGUGUGUGAAGAAGGUCUUCGGAUUGUAAAGCACUUUAAGUUGGGAGGAAGGGCGCUCGGUGAAUACCCAGGCGUCUUGACGUUACCGACAGAAUAAGCACCGGCUAACUUCGUGCCAGCCGCCGCGGUAAAAC